GAAAAACAGAGUAAAAAUGUCAAUUCUGCUUUAAUAUGACUGAAGCAAUACUGCUGUAAACAUGAGAAGAUGAUCUGUGGUAAAAUUAUGGUAUGCAAAUUUUUUAUAUUUUAAGAAGUUCACACAAAUGCAGCCAGGGAUGCUUAGAAAGUAAUUUAAGGAGAAACAAACUGAAAACCCAGCCGACUACUGGAUAGCUUGAGUCACAUAAAUGUUUACAAGUGCAAAAACAGUCAUCCUUCUAUGCCAUACCAGGAAGCAGGUGAUAUGGGAGAGAAUUAUACAUACCAGAGGAGAGGGCUGGAACUAAGUGAUCUUUAAGGUCCAUUACAAACCAAGCCAUUCUGUCGCACUGUCUUGGUGAGCAUUUGCCUGCAUUCCCAAGGAGGCUAAUCCAUCCUAGAUACAGUACGUGUAACUUCCGGGAAGUCUAAAGUGCUUCAACGAUAAGGAACGUGCGGUGUUCUCUGAAAUCGCUGUUUCACUCAGGCAGAUGUGCAUGCAUAUAUCUGCAGGAGACAACCAUAAAGCAUCAUCCUGAAGUCAUCCUAGCUAAAAAAAAAACAACCCAGCUCCAAAGAAACCACCAGAUGCUGAGACUUUACAUUCCUGAGGAAGAGAACUGCUCAGUAAAUACUCCUACACUGCCUCCAAGACUCAAAAAUCAAGAUAACUGGGUUUUCUCUUCUGCAAAAUGGAAGUGAAAAGGAAGCCUCUGUUCAGAAAGUGCCCAUGAAUACUCAAGGCAAGCUGUAGCACUGUCUGUUCAGUCCAGGUAAUUAAAAUCAAACAGAAUUGUGAAUGCCCUAUCAAAAGGAAUUGACUCAUGGCAAUUAAAGGCAAUUGCCUUAUAGUUAUACAGUAGUAAUAUAAGAUUGAGUCUACAACCACUGUUACUUGAAGCUAGCAUUAAUGAGAAACUGCAGUGAAGCUGAUCAUUGCCACUCAUUACUGAGACACAAUAAAGAAACCACGGAACUCAAGGAGGAUAAGUCCCAUAG
rnacentral:lncRNA from 1 species